rnacentral:rRNA from 1 species
GGGUUGUGAGGUUAAGCGACUAAGCGUACACGGUGGAUGCCCUGGCAGUCAGAGGCGAUGAAGGACGUGCUAAUCUGCGAAAAGCGUCGGUAAGGUGAUAUGAACCGUUAUAACCGGCGAUGUCCGAAUGGGGAAACCCAGUGCAAUUCGUUGCACUAUCGUUAACUGAAUACAUAGGUUAACGAGGCGAACCGGGGGAACUGAAACAUCUAAGUACCCCGAGGAAAAGAAAUCAACCGAGAUUCCCCCAGUAGCGGCGAGCGAACGGGGAGCAGCCCAGAGUCUGAAUCAGCUUGUGUGUUAGUGGAACGGUCUGGAAAGUCCGACGGUACAGGGUGAUAGUCCCGUACACCAAAAUGCACAGGUUGUGAACUCGAAGAGUAGGGCGGGACACGUGGUAUCCUGUCUGAAUAUGGGGGGACCAUCCUCCAAGGCUAAAUACUCCUGACUGACCGAUAGUGAACCAGUACCGUGAGGGAAAGGCGAAAAGAACCCCGGCGAGGGGAGUGAAAAAGAACCUGAAACCGUGUACGUACAAGCAGUGGGAGCACCUUCGGGUGUGACUGCGUACCUUUUGUAUAAUGGGUCAGCGACUUAUAUUCUGUAGCAAGGUUAACCGUAUAGGGGAGCCGCAGGGAAACCGAGUCUUAACUGGGCGUUAAGUUGCAGGGUAUAGACCCGAAACCCGGUGAUCUAGCCAUGGGCAGGUUGAAGGUUGGGUAACACUAACUGGAGGACCGAACCGACUAAUGUUGAAAAAUUAGCGGAUGACUUGUGGCUGGGGGUGAAAGGCCAAUCAAACCGGGAGAUAGCUGGUUCUCCCCGAAAGCUAUUUAGGUAGCGCCUCGUGAAUUCAUCUUCGGGGGUAGAGCACUGUUUCGGCUAGGGGGUCAUCCCGACUUACCAACCCGAUGCAAACUACGAAUACCGAAGAAUGUUAUCACGGGAGACACACGGCGGGUGCUAACGUCCGUCGUGAAGAGGGAAACAACCCAGACCGCCAGCUAAGGUCCCAAAGUCAUGGUUAAGUGGGAAACGAUGUGGGAAGGCACAGACAGCCAGGAUGUUGGCUUAGAAGCAGCCAUCAUUUAAAGAAAGCGUAAUAGCUCACUGGUCGAGUCGGCCUGCGCGGAAGAUGUAACGGGGCUAAACCAUGCACCGAAGCUGCGGCAGCGACACUAUGUGUUGUUGGGUAGGGGAGCGUUCUGUAAGCCUGCGAAGGUGUGCUGUGAGGCAUGCUGGAGGUAUCAGAAGUGCGAAUGCUGACAUAAGUAACGAUAAAGCGGGUGAAAAGCCCGCUCGCCGGAAGACCAAGGGUUCCUGUCCAACGUUAAUCGGGGCAGGGUGAGUCGACCCCUAAGGCGAGGCCGAAAGGCGUAGUCGAUGGGAAACAGGUUAAUAUUCCUGUACUUGGUGUUACUGCGAAGGGGGGACGGAGAAGGCUAUGUUAGCCGGGCGACGGUUGUCCCGGUUUAAGCAUGUAGGCUGGUUGUCCAGGCAAAUCCGGAUAAUCAAGGCUGAGGUGUGAUGACGAGGCACUACGGUGCUGAAGUAACAAAUGCCCUGCUUCCAGGAAAAGCCUCUAAGCAUCAGGUAACAUUAAAUCGUACCCCAAACCGACACAGGUGGUCAGGUAGAGAAUACCAAGGCGCUUGAGAGAACUCGGGUGAAGGAACUAGGCAAAAUGGUGCCGUAACUUCGGGAGAAGGCACGCUGGUGUGUAGGUGAAGUCCCUGCGGAUGGAGCUGAGACCAGUCGAAGAUACCAGCUGGCUGCAACUGUUUAUUAAAAACACAGCACUGUGCAAACACGAAAGUGGACGUAUACGGUGUGACGCCUGCCCGGUGCCGGAAGGUUAAUUGAUGGGGUUAUCCGUAAGGAGAAGCUCUUGAUCGAAGCCCCGGUAAACGGCGGCCGUAACUAUAACGGUCCUAAGGUAGCGAAAUUCCUUGUCGGGUAAGUUCCGACCUGCACGAAUGGCGUAAUGAUGGCCAGGCUGUCUCCACCCGAGACUCAGUGAAAUUGAACUCGCUGUGAAGAUGCAGUGUACCCGCGGCAAGACGGAAAGACCCCGUGAACCUUUACUAUAGCUUGACACUGAACAUUGAGCCUUGAUGUGUAGGAUAGGUGGGAGGCUUUGAAGCGUGGACGCCAGUCUGCGUGGAGCCAACCUUGAAAUACCACCCUUUAAUGUUUGAUGUUCUAACGUUGGCCCCUUACCGGGGUUGCGGACAGUGUCUGGUGGGUAGUUUGACUGGGGCGGUCUCCUCCCAAAGCGUAACGGAGGAGCACGAAGGUUAGCUAAUCCUGGUCGGACAUCAGGAGGUUAGUGCAAUGGCAUAAGCUAGCUUGACUGCGAGCGUGACGGCGCGAGCAGGUGCGAAAGCAGGUCAUAGUGAUCCGGUGGUUCUGAAUGGAAGGGCCAUCGCUCAACGGAUAAAAGGUACUCCGGGGAUAACAGGCUGAUACCGCCCAAGAGUUCAUAUCGACGGCGGUGUUUGGCACCUCGAUGUCGGCUCAUCACAUCCUGGGGCUGAAGUAGGUCCCAAGGGUAUGGCUGUUCGCCAUUUAAAGUGGUACGCGAGCUGGGUUUAGAACGUCGUGAGACAGUUCGGUCCCUAUCUGCCGUGGGCGCUGGAGAAUUGAGGGGGGCUGCUCCUAGUACGAGAGGACCGGAGUGGACGCAUCACUGGUGUUCGGGUUGUCAUGCCAAUGGCACUGCCCGGUAGCUAAAUGCGGAAGAGAUAAGUGCUGAAAGCAUCUAAGCACGAAACUUGCCCCGAGAUGAGUUCUCCCUGAGACUUUAAGUCUCCUGAAGGAACGUUGAAGACGACGACGUUGAUAGGCCGGGUGUGUAAGCGCAGCGAUGCGUUGAGCUAACCGGUACUAAUGAACCGUGAGGCUUAACCUUACAACGCCGAAG